UGGGGAAUAUUGCACAAUGGGCGCAAGCCUGAUGCAGCCAUGCCGCGUGUAUGAAGAAGGCCUUCGGGUUGUAAAGUACUUUCAGCGGGGAGGAAGGCGAUAAGGUUAAUAACCUUGUCGAUUGACGUUACCCGAAGAAGAAGCACCGGCUAACUCCGUGCCAGCAGCCGCGGUAAUACGGAGGGUGCAAGCGUUAAUCGGAAUUAUUGGGCGUAAAGCGCACGCAGGCGGUCUGUCAAGUCGGAUGUGAAAUCCCCGGGCUCAACCUGGGAACUGCAUUCGAAACUGGCAGGCUAGAGUCUUGUAGAGGGGGGUAGAAUUCCAGGUGUAGCGGUGAAAUGCGUAGAGAUCUGGAGGAAUACCGGUGGCGAAGGCGGCCCCCUGGACAAAGACUGACGCUCAGGUGCGAAAGCGUGGGGAGCAAACA
rnacentral:rRNA from 1 species